rnacentral:rRNA from 1 species
GCAAUGGGCGAAAGCCUGACGCAGCGACGCCGCGUGGGGGAUGAAGCAUUUCGGUGUGUAAACCCCUUUCGACUGGGACGAAUGCCUCGCAAGAGGAGUGACGGUACCAGUAGAAGAAGCCCCGGCUAACUACGUGCCAGCAGCCGCGGUAAGACGUAGGGGGCCAGCGUUGUUCGGAAUUACUGGGUGUAAAGGGUCAGUAGGCGGUGUGGCAAGUCGGGAGUGAAAUCUAUGGGCUUAACCCAUAGGCUGCUUCCGAAACUGCCAUGCUUGAGUGUGGGAGAGGCGCGUGGAAUUGCAGGUGUAGCGGUGAAGUGCGUAGAUAUCUGCAGGAACACCCGUGGCGAAAGCGGCGCGCUGGACCACAACUGACGCUGAAUGACGAAAGCUAGGGGAGCAAACAGGAUUAGAUACCCUGGUAGUCCUAGCCCUAAACGAUCAGGACUUGGGGUGCCACCCGUUCGGGUGUCGUCCCGGAGCUAACGCGUUAAGUCCUGCACCUGGGGAGUACGGU